rnacentral:rRNA from 1 species
UGAUACUAAGCCAUGCGAGUCAUUGCAGUAAUGCAAGGCAGACGGCUCAGUAACGCGUAGUCAACCUACCCUAUGGACGGGAAUAACCUCGGGAAACUGAGUAUAAUGCCCGAUAGAACACUAUACCUGGAAUGGUUUGUGUUCCAAAUGAAUGUCGCCGUAGGAUGGGACUGCGGCCUAUCAGUUUGUUGGUGAGGUAAUGGCCCACCAAGACUAUUACAGGUACGGGCUCUGAGAGGAGUAGCCCGGAGAUGGGUACUGAGACACGGACCCAGGCCCUAUGGGGCGCAGCAGGCGAGAAAACUUUGCAAUGUGCGAAAGCACGACAAGGUUAAUCCGAGUGGUUUGUGCUAAACGAACCUUUUGACAGUCCUAGAAACACUGUUGAAUAAGGGGUGGGCAAGUUCUGGUGUCAGCCGCCGCGGUAAAACCAGCACCUCAAGUGGUCAGGAUGAUUAUUGGGCCUAAAGCAUCCGUAGCCGGCUCUGUAAGUAUUCGGUUAAAUCUGUACGCUCAACGUACAGGCUGCCGGGAAUACUGCAGAGCUAGGGAGUGGGAGAGGUAGACGGUACUCGGUAGGAAGGGGUAAAAUCCUUUGAUCUAUUGAUGACCACCUGUGGCGAAGGCGGUCUACCAGAACACGUCCGACGGUGAGGGAUGAAAGCUGGGGGAGCAAACCGGAUUAGAUACCCGGGUAGUCCCAGCUGUAAACUAUGCAAACUCAGUGAUGCAUUGGCUUGUGGCCAAUGCAGUGCUGCAGGGAAGCCGUUAAGUUUGCCGCCUGGGAAGUACGUACGCAAGUAUGAAACUUAAAGGAAUUGGCGGGGGAGCACCACAAGGGGUGAAGCCUGCG